ACAUUUCUACUUGGGCGACGACCAUCUUAAAUCUGAUUUUGAACAUUUUUUUCCUUUGUACAAAUCGAUAUUUGACAUCUACUAGGGUUCGCUGUUGGUUGAGGUGGGCAUUCGUCCCGUGUGUUGUUGCACCCUGCAGGAGAGGAAAACGCUUCAAACAAAGAGUUGAAAAAAAAAAUUCUAGACACAUUUGCUAAAGGGUAGAAUGAUAGUUCAAUGUAAAAAA
rnacentral:lncRNA from 1 species